GAUCAAGCGCAUAAGGGCUUCUGACGGAUGCCUUGGCAUUGAGAGGCGAUGAAGGACGUGGCACGCUGCGAUAAGAGCCGGGGAGGCGCGAGCACCCUUUGAUCCGGCUAUCUCCGAAUGGGGAAACCCACCUUUACGGUCUGCCAAUUCGGUUCUGAUUUCGGUCAGAACCGGGUUUGGUUGAUCGUUGAAAGGUAUAAUGACCUGAAUACAUAGGGUCAUUAAGCAAACCCGGGGAACUGAAACAUCUCAGUACCCGGAGGAAAGGACAUCAACCGAGACUCCCGUAGUAGUGGCGAGCGAACCGGGACCAGGCCAGUGCUGUCGUGACAUAAAGCCGAACGAUCCUGGAAAGAUCGGCCAUAGCGGGUGAUAGCCCCGUAGGCGUCAAAUAGCGACAGACUCGAGUAGGGCGGGACACGUGAAAUCCUGUCUGAACAUGGGGGGACCACCCUCCAAGCCUAAGUACUCCUCGACGACCGAUAGUGAACAAGUACCGUGAGGGAAAGGUGAAAAGCACCCCGACAAGGGGAGUGAAAUA
rnacentral:rRNA from 1 species